rnacentral:misc_RNA from 1 species
CCAAACUUGGUCAUUUAGAGGAAGUAAAAGUCGUAACAAGGUUUCCGUAGGUGAACCUGCGGAAGGAUCAUUACCGAGUUAGGGUGGCUCUGCCGCCCGACCUCCCAACCCUUUGUCUAAACCGACCACCGUUGCUUCGGCGAGCCGCGCCCCCCCGGGGACGCGCCGGGGGCCCCACCGCCCCUGGAGAGCGCUCGUCGAUAGCCAAACUUCAAACUCCGUACAAAAACCUGCCUAAAUCUUGUAUAUCUUAAAUGAUAAAACAAAACUUUCAACAACGGAUCUCUUGGUUCUGGCAUCGAUGAAGAACGCAGC